CGGGGCUUUCCCGCGGAGGCUAAAAUGGAAAGAGCGAGUUCCCGCCACCACCGGCCUGGGGCGGAUCCUCAUCAGAUGCUGGAAGUUGGAGGAGGCACUAGGGCCUGGGACGCUGCAAAGGGACGACUGGACCCUAAACCCCUGUCUUCACAUCACCAUCAAAGUAAUUUCCUACCACCCACAUCAGAUCUUGCUCCUUUUCUACUUUAAAACCUCCAAAGGCUUUCCAUUGACUCCAGGAUAAAGCCCAAAGGCAGCAGCAGCAGGAUGUCGUCACCGUCCACUAGGCCCUGCCUAUCUUCUCUUUGUUCAUUCACAACAUAUCCAGCUACUGUAGGCUCUGCAGCUCUAGCAGAGACUGAGGCAGAUUUCCUGCCCUCAUAUUGCUAACAUUCUACUGGAGGAGGGGGAUCAGAUAAUAAAUACAUAAACAAA